UUUCUAGGAGUUGGCAGUUUGAGCUGACAGGGGUCUUGUCUUGGAGUCACUCUCUCUCUGGAGGUCGGAAAAGCUGACUGAAAUACUCUGGCUAGCUGAUGGCUGCCCUGGCAGGAGCUUGGCCAAGCUCCAUCUUUAAUCUUUUUCUAUCAUCUCUCUGACCUGUGUGGUAUUAAAUGUGGAUCUCUGGACUGGUAAAAGCCUUCGGAAGGGUCCUUUGAUCAGAGCUUAGCUGUGGCUCAUGGAAAAUUAAUAAAGACUCAUUCCUGCCA